UGGAUAGUCAGGUCAGGUGGGGGAGCCAGCACUGACACACAACAAACAGCACGGGAUCCCAGGUGGCGACCCCCCCCCCCCCAGGCCGACAUGUGAUCCAGUCCCACCCUCCGGAAAUGGCCAUCCAUGGGCCGCAGCCAGGUGUUACGUGGGCGUCCCCUCAGCCUGGUCCAGCCGCUCGUAUCCUCAGCAAUGAGGAUCCUGCGAGCCGGAUCACCGUCAGGGAGACGCGCCACAUGGCCGUAUCGCCGUACCUGAUGCUCCCUCGCAAUGCAGCUCAUUGUGAAAAUGCUGGAUGGCUGCUCUUGGUUGUGUUCAGGCGCUGCCCAUCAUUCCUGUCACCUGUCUGUGGUGACACUACUCCAGAGGUCCGAUUGAGGCACAUGACGUGACUUCUCUUCUUACUGGGUCGCUGUGGACCUUCCACUUCAGGCUGGCACUGGCACAACCUCCUUAUGCCUAACAUGACUUCCUGGUCCAAAAACAUGCUGAGGAUAACUGGAGUUACAAAACUGAAUGGACUGACGGAUGGAUGGAUGGAUGGAUGGAUGGAUGUUAAAUUCUAAAAGGUAUCCUUGAUCCCAUCUUGAAAUCUCAAGCUUGAUCAGUAACAACUUGUUCCUUUUGUCUGUAAACAAGAUAUAAAAAGGGUAAGACUGCAUUUCCCGUUUCAUUUGA